CAGGCCGGAUCCGCAGGCCGUAGUUUGCACACCCCUGUGUUAGAGCCACCGUACACUAGACCAUUGCCACAAGAGGAUGCUCCCAAAGUGGACGGAUCAACAGGUGGCAUGGAGCCAGAAUGACCGCUCUUGACAUCGGUGCCAAACUCCCCGUGACUGGCGUAGGGGCCAGUGAGCCCUUUAUGCGGCUCAGCAAUCUGCAGCGUCUGUAACAAGACCCUAACUUGUAUCAGGGCUCUAGCCCAGCACAGUGCAGCCUAGGAUCACAGAAUACAACUUCAAACUACUUUUGGUCCCCUGCCUCCUGCACUGCAUUUUGCUCCCCUCAUCAGCAGCUGGAACUGGGUCUUGGUCUGGAAUAAUUUCUUCUGAAAAUGUUAAUUGGGUUCAUUGUGGUUAGUCAGUGGGUGACCCAUUGACAAAUACAAAAUUGUGCUAAAGUGAUUAACCAAACAUACACAUUUAAAUAUAGUCUAGAAUACUUGGCUCCGUUAGUUUUGACGUAAAUUUGUUUUACAAAUGUGGGGACUGUUUCAUCUUGUAGUGGUAACUCCACUAUAAUAUGGCUUGUAAAAGGUAAGUCUCAUGAGCUCUAGAAUGAGGUCUCUGCUCUUUUAAAUUGUCACUGAGAAGUGGGGUGAGAUGAUGGGACUUCUUGUGACAAUUGACAGGCUUGUCUGUAACUGCAUUAAUUCUUCCCCUACUUUUUGUGCCUCCUAAAAAGCUUCUAGCUAUUGAAACAUACUAAUGAUAAGGACUCCAGUUUUUACUGCAAUAACUUUGCAGCCAGAAGAACAGAUACAGAGAGAGUCUAAGAACAUUCUAGACUCUCCUCUCCAAAAACCCCUGACCAGUUUACCCAGUGCAAGACUGUGCCUGUGUCACCACUUCCUGGACUCGGUCAGGAUCUAUGUUCCUGAAUAAGUCAAAGUACAUUUCUGUAAUCAUACUCUGAACACACCCAUUAGCUCACUCCUCUGCUGCUCUGGGCACUUUGAAACCUUCAUUUGCUUUGGUUGGAUAGCUUUGAUUAAUUGAAAGUAACUUUUUACAGUUUUUAGAAAUACAGUUUUGGAUUUGUUUCAACUAGAAUAUAACCUAUGUCUAGUUAAUAGGCUUCCCCCUUCCUCCGUGAUUAGUCUUGGCAGCCAUUGUUCCCCGCUGCUGUAGAACAGGUUGAGCAAAUAAUACUGUAGAAGGCAGAGCUGGUUGUGCUUCAACAUGUACCAAAGAACAAAUGUUCUGAAAGGAGAAAGAACAAAAUAAAUGUCACACAAUUGACAUAUUUAUACCUCUUUCAUUAAACGUGUCCCAGAGGUUUCUCUAAAUCUAGUUUUGUUUUCUCAAAUUUUUCUUUGUAGUCAGGGCCCCAUUAAUUUUGUCACCAUAAAAUCUACCUCUUUCUGCAGAACUCUGCUCUAGAAUCUCAGCUUUUGUUUAUAAAAAAACUAAGUACGGUAUCUACCCCUUGUGACUGGGGGGGAAAAACCCUUCCAAGGAUGAGUCGAUAUAACCCAUACAAGGAUGUCUGCUCGAGACCUGGUCUACACACACUGUACUGAUUUAACAAAGGGCGGCUAUACACUCAAACUGCCACCAAAAGAUCUCACUGCUGCACUAACUCACGGUGCUAGUGAGUGUGUGGACACUCUUCUGUUGGAGUAAGUUUCCUAUUUUGAUUUAGCCUAAAGUAAUUUUUUUCCAACUUAAAAACUAAGGAAAUAGGGCACUUUUGUUUCUAAAAAGUCUUCACACUAGGGGUAUGAAAGGUUUGUUUGGUUUGUUAGAUGUGAGAGUGAAUUAAUUAGUUACUUUGAUGCAAGUUUGUGUAGCCAAGGCCUGAACUGAUUUAGUUAAAUUGGUGCAAUGCACUUGUGUGGACAUUAGAUCUUAUCCAAACAUACAGAUUGUACCACGCUAGCUUUCCUGGGAUAGUGAUACAAGCCCCUCUAAUGUGCAUAUUUAUACCAGUAUAGCUAUUCCCAUGCAGGAAGGGGAAUAAGAUACAUCAGUGUAAGGCAUCUUUAUCCUGGUGUAACUGCAUCCACACUAGGGGUUGCCAGUAUAACUAUUAUGGUAAAAGAUCUCACCUCUAACCUGACAUAGUUAUACUGCUACAAAAGCUGUGUGCAGAUCAGACCUUACAUUAGCAGGUCUUAAUAACUUGGUAACAAACCUGAGUCUGCAACCAGCCUGAAAAAAGCACCUAAAGGGAGGAGUGCAUUGCCCCAACCAUAUCAGUGGGGCAUAAAUGUUGAAAUCUGUUCUACUGCAGUAUUACCUAAACCCCCUUCUAACCUUAUUACAAACAGAGGAAUGCAGAGGAUUUUGCCACCAAAUUUACGUCAAGCUUGCCUCAGAGUAUGUGGAACCUUGCUUACAGGUCUCUAUAUAUGUAUGUGGGAUAUGCUUGUCCUGUAUAAUCAGCAUGAAUAACUAAUGCAUAAAAUCCAAAAUGAACUUGAAAAACUCCACUGAAAUAGGUACACGCUGAAAUCUCCAGUUUAGAAGAGUAUUUAUUCCACCAAUUACUGAGGAAGAAGAGAAAAUAAGUACCAGUAUGUGUCUGAGUUGUACAGUUAACAAUAGAAGUAAUCCACUGUGCCCUUUCAUUACCCCCAUGGGACUACAGGUUUCCAAGGAAGAGAAGUAAGAUUGAUGUAUUAUGUUAAAUAGACAGUGUGUGCUGUAACAGCUGGGAGCAAGGUAAGUAAACCCUUGUCUGACUAGCCUUUGGUGGAUUUAAGGUCGAUGCUACUAUGCCUUUGACAAUAGUUGUGUAUUAUUUAACUAACACUAGAUUCAGCACAAUCUCUCUUGAAACUGAUCCUCCAAUUACAUGUAAUUUAAAAUAAUGAGCCUUUAUAAUCUCUUGCUUCAAUGGGUUUGGGUAUUUAAAGGGACACACUGCAGUCUGGGCACUUCUCUCGUCAAGUAACGCAAGCGCACAGACUGCUGUUAGAAAACAAAUCACUCUUCAACCCUUUCGUAGUGGUUUUAAUUAUUUUAAACUAGAAGAAAUUGGAGUCCACAUUGCUAGCGCACAGAGUGCACAUCUCGUAUUGUCUUGCCUGAGUUUGGAGUGUGUGGUUGGGGUUUUUUUAAGUCUGAAGUACUAACUUUUUGUUGCACUAUAAUUUAAAUAGCUAGAUGAGUGGCCAGCUCAGUAACCUCGAAGUGCUGUGUCCUAGAGGCAGAAUCUUCAGCUGCCAGGAAAGAGGGUGCGUAUCUCCAAGUACCAAUGCCUGUGAUGAACACCACACUGAAUUAAUGAAACUCUGUCCAGCCUUUAUUUCCUGGAGGAGAGUUGGCAGGCAAUGCACAGAUACGAUGCCCAAAAUUGAAGUCAGUGCUCCAAUUAAGGUCUAACAAUGCUAAAUAGAGUGGAAUAACUACUUCAUUUAAGAAAAUUCUGUCCUACUUCCUGUUCUCUGACUUCCACUUUAGAGAGAGAGAAGAACAGCACAGAUGCCUGAAAAAUAUGUAAGUCACCGCAUAUACAAUCUCACACAUCAUUUACCAGCAUUAUUUAUCACCUCACUCACCUUGUCUCUCUAAUAUCCUGGGACGGACAGGGUUACAACUACACUACAUUUUCAAGCAUUGUUUCUAAAUAUACUCAGCAGCUCUGUAUAAAUUCUACUGUUUCCAAAUCAAAACUCUAUUCACAAAAAGUUGCAAAUUUCUCUCCUGUAUCCUCUAGACCCUUCAUAAAACAACCCAGGACAUGAAAAGUAAAAGCAAGUAUCACAAUCAGUUGUACCCAGCAAAAAGGCAGGAUGUAUAGCAGAUGUGUGAGAAAUCCAGGCAAACCAGGAAUGUACAAGCUGCACACAUACCAUGUGAAGGCCAUGACAGAUAGUCACAUUAAGAGAACCACCUCAACCACAAACAAGCUGAGGCAACUGAGCCUGCAAACACAAGUUGUGUAUUUAAAAAACAGAUGGGACCCACAAGUACUAACUGACAGGUCAAAAACAGGAUUGAUUUCUCUUCAUGUUGGAUUAAGGGAAAAUAUCUUAUUUGCAUAAAAUGACCCUGCACUGACAAGACCUGAUUGUUUAGAGCAUAGCACAAUAGAUGGAUUAUCUGACUCCUGCACACAGAUAACAGAUCAACACAGAUGGUUGUAAACGAGACACUGAGCUUAUUAAUGUCUGCUGUAAGAGCAAAGACAAAUGUGUAUCUUCAGGGUUAUGGUCAGUCUAUACAGAGGACAAUUCCCUUAUUGUGGGGUCCCUGUUUUUUCUUAGCUGGCUUCGUUCAGUCACUAGCAAUUCAUAUAUGUCAAUUUUCACAUAAGGAAAUGAAGGUGAUGUGCAACUUCACACCAAUAUAAAAGAAGGAUUCAUUUGAGAAUUCCUGUCUUUUACUGACUCAGAUAGUAAUUAUAAUAUUUAGCUCUUGUACAGCACUUCUCAUCCAUAGAUCUCAAAACACUUUAUAAAAGGAUGUCAGUAUUAUUAUCCCCAUUUUACAGGUGGGGAAACUGAGACACAGGGAAGUGACUUGCCUAAGGUCACCCAGCAAGCCAGUGGUAGAGCUAGUAAUAGAACCCAGGUCUCCUAAGACCCAGUCCAGUGCUCUAUUCAUUAGGCCAUGUUAAAUGUAAAAUUAUAUUGUAAACGUUAAUGGGGCCAAAUGUUAGCCUACUCUAUUUAUUUGUUUAGCAGAUGUUUAAUAUUUGUUUAAUGUUCCAAUGCUCAAAUAAAAUGCAACCAGCACAGCAACCCUAUAAUAAUAAUAAAUCAAUGCAUACACAUGACUGAAGCAGGGAAAUGUCAAUAAAAAAAAUCAAUUUCAGUUUCAAGUUUUUCAGGGGUCAUUAAAGGACUUUAAUUAUACAAACCAUUUCAGCGCAUGUCAGCCAUUACCUUCUGCAAAGCUAACAUUUUAAUAUAAAUUUAUAUUUACACUGUUAAGUUUGGAACAUUUUCUAGACAAGCAGCCAGAUUUUCUUUCAUAACUUGUGUAUAAAAGAGACUGUGGGUUCAAUUUACACGCAAGUAAAAUUCAGAGAAAAGCUGAAUAAAUCAGCAUUGCCUGAUCAUUUCAAUGUUUCUGCUCAAAACUUCUUCCACAAUAAAUGUGCCCUUGUACACUGAAAAGCAAUUUCCUUAAAAUGACUGAGAAGUGCACUAGUGUGGCAUAUUUAUCUGCUACCAAGAAAUCUUCAUUGUGAAAGUAGUAUUUCAUGGCAGAAGGAGCCCAUGUAGCCUGCAUAAUGUCUAUCCAGCUGUAUGUGCCUGUCUAGCCUUGUAUUUAACAGGUUCAUGACUGCAGCUCUUAAAGCAACUUUUGGUAAUUCAUGCUACACUGAGCUCUUAGGUCUUGAUUCCCCUAACCAUGCAGCUAAUUUGAAAAUGCACAUGGACAGACUCUCAGCAAGCCAGCUCCAUGUCCAAGUACUAGAUUUGCAUGAAUUGCACACAGAUGUUUAUUAAAAUCAGGGUCCUAGCAUUUGCUUUUUUCUUAAUUUUUGACUUGUGCUAGUUACCUUCCCAAAUCAUACUCUGAAGCUCUAACACUCUCAGAAUUGUAUCUCUCUCAAAUAGACCCCAUGUGAACCUUCUAAUUACAGGCAAUUUAUGUAACUUUUGUCAUGUUGCUGGUUUUGGACAUAUCCUACCCUAGCACCCAGGUACAUUACUCCAGGGUCCUCAUUAACUAUGUUUGGACAAGUCCAGUUAGAGAACAUGUUAGUAACAGAACUUCCAGUAACUGCUUUUUGUACUUCUCAGGAUUCUGAAGAGGAGGUGGGACCCGGACAGCCCAUGCCCAACAAGCGCCCCACCCAGACCUUGACAAGUCUCUUCAUGUUGCCAAAUCUCAUGUGUUUUUGUUUUCCUACUGUAAGUAUUUAAUGUGAUUUUAGCAUUAGCUUGGGGGAAGGAGGAAAAGACCAAUUUUUCCUCCCUAUGCAAACGUUUUUUUUUUAAUCUUUAAUGUGACAACUGAAGGAUCAAGGGAAUGUUCAUAGAGUGUGGCACUUCCAACUUCAGAUAGUAAUCGUAGGCUACCACCAUCUGAUGGCUGUUUAGUGGUUUAAGUGCAACUCUUGCUAGAGAGAUGUCCACAUCACAAAAAAACUCCACCUUAGUUGGCACCAAUUGUCCUUUCAGCCCUUUCCUUCUCUGCGAAGACUAUCAAACCAACUAUUUUAUACCAAAAGACCAUCUGUACAGAUCAGAAUGCAGGACUGUUGGCUGGCAAUGCUGGGAAGUCUGCACUGCUGCUGCCUGUACUGAACCUAUUCUGAAACAGAGGACUUUGAUCUCCCAGGCUGUGUCUCUCCCAUUUUCCACAAGCAGAGAUUUCACAGGAAAUAACUCUUCAAUAAGCAAUUCGAACAACUGUGUAGUAGAUUUCCUGGGUUCUUUUGGCAAAGAGGAGGACAUCACACGUACCAUAAACAAAGGACAAUGUCAAAUGAAGGUGUGUACAUUCUUACCAACACCAUCAUAAGAUUAUUGAAAUAAACUUUUAAAAUUCAGUUUACUUUUCAAUAUUUAUAUAUUUUCCUCUGGCUCAGUCAAUAGUCACUUUCAUUUUCAUUUAUAGUCAGUUUCAUUUUCAAGUUCCCAACAUGCAAGUUGUAAACAAUACAGGGGACUUUUUUAAAAAAAUUAACUCUUUAGUUUACACUUUGAAAUUUUUUUCAACUUACAAAAACAUUUGAAGAGCUUCCAAUGAUCUAAAUUUCUAGCUACAUGAAUCAUGCCCCUGUAAAAGUGUCCCUCAAAAGAACUACCCUAUUCUAACACCAUAUUUUCAUCCCUUUUAUUCAUGUAACUUGUGAUGUUGAUGAAGAAAAACCAGAAAUCUGAAGCUCAGCAUUCUCAGGAUCUUAAGGAGGUAAUUUUGCUGAAACACAGCAGUACAUACAUUUCCAAACAGCCAUAUACAGUUUCCCCCUUUGGGAACCCUACAAAAAAAGUUGUAAUCUUUUGACAAAACCAUUGCUCUUCACCUUUAAUUCCCAAGUGUCUACCACCAUUGUAAAUUAUGAAAACCUUAAAAACAUAAAGGAAUUUUAAAAGUACCUUUUUUUUUCACACACAUAAGAUACUUUUUUUAAAUUGCUUUUUUGUUUUUAAGGUUAUGUUUGACUUCCCUUUUGACCUGAAUCGUGCUGUUUACAACACUGGUUCCCACCAGGAAGUUAGACUAGUACAGCACUCCACAGGAAAGGAGGGCUUCAUUCUGGACCCUGCAGAUUAUAUUCUUAUUCAGAAACUAUUUUGAUCUCUAAGGUUUUAAAAGAAAGCUGAAGAAAUCACUUAACACAGGAGCUAAUACAUCCAGUUAUGCAUAAAUAUGGAUAGUAAAUAUUUUUAUUAACAUGCUAUGCUCCUAGCCCACUGUGUGAUGUCUUUGAGUGACUAGAUCUUCCAUUUCUAAAGGCGCAAUAAAAGCUUGUGUAUAGCAACUACAAAUUUUGCAAACAAAUAAACUUUCUGGAGAAGAUAUUCAACUUUGUACUUUAGGCCCCAAUCAUCCUCUUACUGUUGAUCCCUAGUUCAGUAUUUACACUUCUCCUAGCAUGAGGGUGUGUGUCUGUGGCUUUCCCUCGCUCUCCCCGCACCCUGCCCUUCUCUUACUGCUGCCCCACGGGGUUGGGAGGCAGAUGGGCGCUGUGUGUCUGUCUAUCCCUCCCCCAUCAGGAAGCAGGGUGUGGUGGGGGACUCGGGGAGCAGAGGCCUGUCUCCCUCUCUCCGGGCUCCCCUCUCCGUGCCAAGCAUGACUUCAUCCAUCGGGGAGGAGAGUUGCCUGGAGAUUGCAUCAUACGCUCUCCACGCGCAACACCACAGGGUAACCGUGAGGAAAGUCCCGGCCCCUCACACCCAUCACUCGCCCUUCUCUAACUACCUCUCCACGACCCCCUACAGAGCCCGCCCCAUUCAGAGACCCCCACAUACCCGCCCCACACCGCUAUAGACCUUCCCCCACCGAUCAGACCUCCCAGCCAUCCCGUACUACCCCUACAGAGCCCGCCCCAUUGAGACCUCCCACAUACCCACCCCACACACCAGAACUCCUAGCCACCCCGUACUACAGAGCCCGCCCCAUUGAGACCUC